GCCAGUGUGGCUCAGUUGGUUAGAGCAUUGUCCAGUGCGCUGAAGGGUCACAGGUUCAAUUCCUGGUUAUGGCA
rfam:Myotis davidii contig91286, whole genome shotgun sequence.